GGAAUAAGUUUGGUCUCGUGGGAUAUUCAGAUGAAUUGGCUAGUUGGUUCCUCCUCUUGUUUUUGUUUUGUAAAUAUGUUGUGUAUCUUGUCUCUUAGAGUUGUAUUCUGAAAAGAGAGAAAAGAAGAGAGACAAGAUGGAAAAAAAAAGGAAAAAAAAAUACAGAAAAAUGAGAAAAAUUAAAAAAAAAAUUGUUUUGUGAAUAAUGGAGUUAAGAAGAGGAUUGAAUUAGAGGGUUUUGGGUGUGCGUAUACUGUGUUUUCACUUGUUCCCCAUUGCUCCUCUAUUUCCCUUUGGUUUGUAACUUCUCAUCCAUAUCAUAUCCUCCUUUUUCCUUGGCCCCAUUACAACCAUGAAAAGACCUUUUGAUUUGAACAUGCGUAUGUGCUUAAGUGUUGAUAUUAGAGGCUUGCCAAGUCUAUUUGUGUUUGCUUUCUUGAGUGCAUUGAGUGACAUUGAUUUACCUUAAACACUUAAGAGAAACACUAAUUGUGUGCAUCUGUGAGGCUUUGUUGCUUUUGAUUCAUCUCUUGAACUGAUUGACUGUUUUCCAUAUACUGAAUUGCUUGGAUGACUUCAUGAGUAUCUGUUGUCUUUGAUUAUGUGUUGGAUAUUGUCUACUAUUGUUCCUUGUCCAAAUUUCAUGAGGACUGUAAUUCUGUCUGUCGAGUCUGUGUCACCUCCCUGAUGUUUGAGUAGUUCCCUGGUUUUCGUCUU
rnacentral:lncRNA from 1 species